GCAAAAUAACAACAUCCCUUCGGUUUUCAGAAGAGCAUCUCUACAGUAAUCUGGGAAUGAGGUCCUUGGUGGCCCUAGUUCCAGAAAUGAGCCUCACAUUCCUGGACCGUUGCUACAGAGGGCAGGCAGCUAGCAGACAGAGAGAAGCAGAGCCAACAUGAAGAAAUGUGUUCAAGAACCACCGAAAAAAUGAUGUAGAAAGUGAUAAAGGAACCAGACUCCGUCAUUACAAAACAGAAAAAGGAUUGGUACUGUACCGGCAGACAUCUUAGAUGCAGAUGUUAAGCUUACGUGCUUGGAAAUGCUCUGAAACCUGCACCAGCUGCCUUGAAUGUCCUCUUUCUGAUGAGCAGCUCUUGGGGCCCAAACCAAGAGCUCUGGACUGGGAAAGAAAGUUACAAAUGGUGGCAGU
rnacentral:lncRNA from 1 species